rnacentral:rRNA from 1 species
CUCGUAGGCGGCUUGUCGUGUCGGCUGUGAAAGACCCCGGCUCAACCGGGGAAACGCAGCCGAAACUGGCAGGCUAGAGUGUGGGAUGGGAGAGUGGAACUGCCAGUGGAGCGGUGAAAUGCGUUGAUAUUGGCAGGAACGUCGGUGGCGAAAGCGGCUCUCUGGACCACUACUGACGCUGAGGAGCGAAAGCUAGGGGAGCGAACG